AAUGGCCCAUAUAUCAAGUUGAGUCCAUUAGGGACGCGUCCUAGGGUUGGAGGACGACUCUAGCACCCCUUUGGUCGUCCUCCCCUCUAUUUAUUUACAUCUAGAGCCGCCAUGAACAACUGGGUUUUGAUUAGAUAAAGUUUAGCCUUCGCUACUAGCUUGUAAAACGCGCGUGCUGAUCCAGCCGCCCGUCUUCUUGUUUUCGAAACCCCACUUCAUUAGAGAUUGAGUUUGAAACCUUCAUUUACAUCUAGUAUUUUAGUACUUGUUCUACUUGUUCUUGCUGGUUCUUCGAUUGCUUGCAGGACGAGUGCCCUAGUGGCCGGGUGUUGCGCUCCACACGAUCGUGACAGCCAU
rnacentral:lncRNA from 1 species